rnacentral:rRNA from 1 species
UAGGGAAUCUUCGGCAAUGGACGAAAGUCUGACCGAGCAACGCCGCGUGAGUGAAGAAGGUUUUCGGAUCGUAAAACUCUGUUGUUAGAGAAGAACAAGGACGUUAGUAACUGAACGUCCCCUGACGGUAUCUAACCAGAAAGCCACGGCUAACUACGUGCCAGCAGCCGCGGUAAUACGUAGGUGGCAAGCGUUGUCCGGAUUUAUUGGGCGUAAAGCGAGCGCAGGCGGUUUCUUAAGUCUGAUGUGAAAGCCCCCGGCUCAACCGGGGAGGGUCAUUGGAAACUGGGAGACUUGAGUGAAGAAGAGGAGAGUGGAAUUCCAUGUGUAGCGGUGAAAUGCGUAGAUAUAGGGAGGAACACCAGUGGCGAAGGCGGCUCUCUGGUCUGUAACUGACGCUGAGGCUCGAAAGCGUGGGGAGCAAACAGG